AUGCUACGUGGCGAGUUCAAUCGCCCGCGGAUGGAGGACGGCGACGAGCUCGACCCAUACGCGGGCAAGGUGAACGACAUGUCGGCGAGAUACACACAACUCGGGACCACUCUGGACGAGGCCGCCAUGGUGAAGAAACUGCUCGACACCGUGCCGGAUCAGCUGUACGCCGCGGUGGCCGGAAUCGAGCAGUUUUGCAAUGUUGAAGAGAUGGCGUUCGAGGAGGCCGUAGGGCGUCUGAAGGCGUUCGAAGAGCGGACACGGCAGCGUGCGCAGGCCACCGGCGAGCGGGCGGGCGAGUGA
rnacentral:rRNA from 1 species